rnacentral:rRNA from 1 species
GGAUAGUUUGAUCCUGGCUCAGAUUGAACGCUGGCGGCAUGCCUUACACAUGCAAGUCGAACGGCAGCACGGAGCUUGCUCUGGUGGCGAGUGGCGAACGGGUGAGUAACAUAUCGGAACGUACCCUGGAGUGGGGGAUAACGUAGCGAAAGUUACGCUAAUACCGCAUACGAUCUAAGGAUGAAAGUGGGGGAUCGCAAGACCUCAUGCUCGUGGAGCGGCCGAUAUCUGAUUAGCUAGUUGGUAGGGUAAAAGCCUACCAAGGCAUCGAUCAGUAGCUGGUCUGAGAGGACGACCAGCCACACUGGAACUGAGACACGGUCCAGACUCCUACGGGAGGCAGCAGUGGGGAAUUUUGGACAAUGGGCGAAAGCCUGAUCCAGCAAUGCCGCGUGAGUGAAGAAGGCCUUCGGGUUGUAAAGCUCUUUUGUCAGGGAAGAAACGGUGAGAGCUAAUAUCUCUUGCUAAUGACGGUACCUGAAGAAUAAGCACCGGCUAACUACGUGCCAGCAGCCGCGGUAAUACGUAGGGUGCAAGCGUUAAUCGGAAUUACUGGGCGUAAAGCGUGCGCAGGCGGUUUUGUAAGUCUGAUGUGAAACCCCCGGGCUCAACCUGGGAAUUGCAUUGGAGACUGCAAGGCUAGAAUCUGGCAGAGGGGGGUAGAAUUCCACGUGUAGCAGUGAAAUGCGUAGAUAUGUGGAGGAACACCGAUGGCGAAGGCAGCCCCCUGGGUCAAGAUUGACGCUCAUGCACGAAAGCGUGGGGAGCAAACAGGAUUAGAUACCCUGGUAGUCC